GAAAAAACAAAAAUCUUUAAAAAAAAAAAACACACCAAAAAAACUCCAAUGACCUCAUUUUCUGGAUAAGGGACUGGGCCCAAAGAGGUUGUGAACUGGGCAGGAUCGCUUGGGUAGGUCGCAGCGGAAGUGAAACUGUCGCCCAGACCUCAGGUUUCUGACUCGGGUCCAUUCGUCUAGUACCUGAGAGGAAGGGGUGGAAGGAGCAGUUAUCACCGAUAACUUGAAAGGGCGAAAUGCAAAUGAAAACCAGAAAAAACGCUCCACAGGAAACUGAGAAGACUCUGAAAAUCAGUCCACGUGGCCUCCGUGACAAGCUGAUAGAACCCGAGGCAGCUGAGCGGCAGAGGGCUAGUUCUGCAGGGGGACCGGCCAGGGCAAACCCGGACUGCUCCACUGCCAAGUCCUGGGGCAUGGGGGCAACUCUCCAGAACUGUCUGGGCCUCAGUUUCCGCAAUCAUGAAAUGGGGGUAACAGGAGUAUCACCCUCAUCUAGCAUUUUGUGAAGGUCAAAAAAACCAUGAUCCAUGGCAAGAGCUUUCUUAGCACAAGGCCUGGAGCAAAAAUACUUGGUGAUCUCAAGAGCUUUUUCACCCUGGAGUCUUAGGACAUCAGAUAACCUGCUCUAGGUGGGAUGAAUCCAGAACUGGAAAGGGAGACUGAUUUCAGCUUUCGGGACUGCAACUGCUUUGCUCCGGAACUCUCAGCACCCAUGGCAUGAAGAAAUUCCUGGGCCAGGCAUCAAACCCGAGCCACAGCUGCUACCCAGGCCAUGGCAGUGACAAUGCCCGAUCCUUAACCCGCUAUGCAACCCUAUAUACUUUUCAGACCAUCUCAAACGCCUUUUCCUCACAUCAAUUCUCUAAGCCUUCUAUUGCCUCAGGGUAUCUAUUCUGAUCAAGUCCUUUGUUGGUUCUGAGUUUGAAAAAAAAAAAUCUUCACUUGGGCAUAUAGGUAUGAAAAUGUGAUGCUGUAGACGCCUGGACAGUGUCUGUGUCUAAGAGAAAAACAUCAGAGGAAGCUGGGGCUGGGUAUUUGGGAGGAGCUAGAGACUCUUCUUCUGGCUCCUGGUCAUUCUCCUUCACGAAGCCUUCUUUUUUUGUGGGCUGCUGAGUCUGGACCCCUAUUUUCAAGGCAUAGUUCUGCUUGACAAGGAGACAGCACAGGUUUUCAGCCAAGAAAAAUCCUCCAUUGAUCAUCUGGAACUGGUUUUCAUUUCCUUCCAGGAGAAUUCUUCCCACAGAGAGGAUGUGUUCAGUUGCUUACUGUCCCCACAAAGGUCCCCUCUCCUCCCCACCCCUGACCUUCUGCUCCGGGCAGAUAGGGACCGAUGCCAGGGACAGCAGCUAUCAGCACCACCACGGGCUUCUCUACGAUGACUUUUCACAGGGCUCUUUUUCAUCCUUUUAUCAUGAGUGUCUUUCCCCGGCCCUCGCCAUCAAGUGGUAUUUUUCUUUUUUUUUUUAAGGUUUAAAGAAAAAUGGAAUAGAAAGAACAGAGAGCUCCCAUGUAUGUCCCAGGCCACACCCCGUGGUUUCCCCCCUAUGACUAACAUCUUGCCUCGUGUGGUCCACUUGUUACAAGUGAUGAACCAAUACUGAUACAUGACUCUGCAUGAGGUCCACCGUUUACAAGGAACUCAUUCCUUGUGUGGGCCCGUCUGUAGAUUUUGCCCAAUGUAUAAAGUCAGGCAUCCACCAUUAGAAGAGUUUCACGGUCUGAAAUAUCCUCUGUGGGGUACCAGCCCCUGGCAAGCACUGACCUUUUCACCAUCUACAUAGCUUUGCUUCUUCCCGAAUGUCACAGAGUUAGACGCAUGACAUUUCAGACUGGCUUCUUCCGCUUAAAAAUAUGGA